rnacentral:lncRNA from 10 species
UCUUUGAGACAGUUCCACUCUGUCACCCAGGUCUCUAAAAAAAACCCACACAAGCAUAAAGUGAGGGAAUCACAGGCAACAAUGAGAAUGUGUCGCAGAUGAAGCGAUUCUGUAUACCUGAGACAGAGGGAGAUGAACGGGAAACGGCAGAGAGUGGUCAGGACAGUCCUCUCUGGGGAGCCCGUUUGAGCCGAAGCUAGGAUGAGUAGAUGCUCCAGCCCAUGUGGGGAUGGGGGUGAAAAGAGUUCCAGACAAAGGAGACAGCAUGAAUGAGGGCCCUGAGGUAGGCCCAAGCCUGUUGUGUUUGGGGGACAGCCAGUUUAAAUGUCUGUUCUGUUAUAUUGUGGAGUCUCUGUGUAUGAAUUUUUCCUAAAGAAAUAACAGACAGGCCGGGUGCAGUGGCUCACGCCUGUCAUCCCAGCACUUCGGGAGGCUGAGGCAGGCAGAUCAUGAGGUCAGGAGAUCGAGACCAUCCUGGCCAACAUGGUGAAACCCCAUCUCUAUUAAAAAUACAGGUCGGGCACGGUGGCUCACGCCUGUAAUCCCAGCACUUUGGGAGGCCAAGGCAGGCAGAUCACAAGGUGAGGAGAUCGAGACCAUCCUGGCUAACACGGUGAAAACCCAGCUCUACUAAAAAUACAAAAAAAAAAAAAUUAGCCGGGCAUGGUGGCGGGCGCCUGUAGUCCCAGCUACUCGGGAGGCUGAGACAGGAGAAUGGUGUGAACCCGGGAGGCAGAGCUUGCAGUGAGCCGACAUCAAGCCACUGCACUCCAGCCUGGGUGACAAAGCGAGAAUCCGUCUCAAAAAAAAAUAAAAAUUAGCUGGGUGUGGUAGCGCACACUUGUAAUCCCAGCUACUCAGGAGGCUGAGGAAAGAGAAUCGCUUGAACCCAGGAGGUGGAGAUUACAGUGAGCCAAGAUUGCGCCACUGCACUCCAGCCUGGCGACAGAGCGAGACUCCAUCUCUAAAUAAAUAAGUGGCCAAAAACAUACAUACAAAGGUGUUCACUGCCAUAUUGUUUAUAAUAGCAAAAAGGGGUAAAACAAUCAAAAUGUCUUUCAAGAAGGAACUGAUUCACUUUGGGAGGCCGAGGUGGGCAGAUCACCUGAGGUCAGGAGUUCGAGACCAGCCUGACCAACAUGGUGAAACCCCAUCUCUAAUAAGAACACAAAAUUAGCCAGGCGUGGUGAUGCACGCCUGUAAUUCCAGCUACUUGGAAGGCUGAGGCAGCAGAGUCAUUUGAACCCAGGAGGCAGAGUUUGCAGUAAUCCGAGAUCACGCCAUUGCACUCCAGCCCAGGCAAAAAGAGUGAAACUCCGUCUCUAAAAAAAAAAGAACUGAUUAAAUGAAUUACAAUAUACUCGGCAGACCUGGACGAGAACCUACGCACUACAUGGAAAGAGAAAAGAGAUGUGAAAAAAGCAGGUUACUAGAAAUUACAUAUAGUAACAUUCCACUUGUGUAAAAAAAACUAUGUGUGCAUGUGAUUAUAAGCAUUUAAGUUUCUGGAUGGCCAGGUGAAGUGGCUCAUGCCUGUAAUCCCAGCACUUUGGGAGGCCAAGGUGGGCAGACCGCUUAAGCCCAGGAAUUUGAGACCAGCUCGGGCAACGUGGCAAAACUCAGUCUCUAUAAAAAAUACAAAAAAUUAGCCCUGUGUGGUGGUACGCGUCUGUAGUCCCAGCUACCUGGGACACUGACGUGGGAAGAUCACUUGAGCCCAAGAGGUUGAGGCUGCAGUGAGCUGUGAUUGCGCCACUGCACCCCAUCCUGGGUGACAGGGAGAGACCUUGUCGAAAAAAAAAAAAGGCCGGGCACGGUGGCUCACGCUUAUAAUCCCAGCACUUUAGGAGGCCAAGGCGGGCAGAUCACAAGGUCAGGAGUUCCAGACCAGCCUGGCCGAUAUGGCGAAACCCCGUCUCUAUUAAAAAUACAAAAAUUAGUCGGGCGCAGUGGUGGGCGGCUGUAGUCCCAGCUACUUGGGAGGCUGAGGCAGGAGAAUCGCUUGAACGUGGGAGGCAGAGGUUGCGGUGAGCCAGGAUCGCGUCACUGCACUCCAGCCUGGGCAACAGAGUGAGACUCCGUCCCGUCUCAAAAAAAAAAAAUUCUGGAAAAUUACAUUAAAAUUUAAAAUUUACUCAUUAUAAUGCCAUUUUUCUAGAUUACAGGAGACGUUCACUUUUCGCCUUAUAUAAUUCAGUAUAAGGCCGGGCGCAGUGGCUCAUGCCUGUAAUCCCAAAACUUUGGGAGGCCGAGGCGGGCGGAUCACUUGAGGUCAGGAAUUCGAGGCCAGCCUGACCAACAUGGCGAAACUCCGUCUCUACUAAAAAUACAAAAAUUAGCCAGGCGUGGUGGCACGCACCUGUAGUUCCAGCUACUCAGGAGGCUGAGGCAGGAGAAUCGCUUGAACCUGGGAGGAGGAAGUUGCAGUGAGCUGAGAUCACGCCACUGCACUCCAGCCUGGUGACAGAGCGAGACUCCACACACACACACACACACACACACACACACACACAAACACAAACACCAUAUAUAUACAUAUAUAACUUUUGUAAUAAUAAAAAACAUACUUCUACUUAAAGAGAAUAUCAAUAAGCCCUAAAGUUUUUCAUAGUGAAAGCCCUUCAAAAUUGCUUGACAAAUAAAUUCUAAGUAUACUAACUAUGGGAAAAAUGUAUGCUUGCGAAGACUUUGUUAGACACAUUUUCUUAAAUGCUGAAGCUAUAAUUUAAAAAUGAAGAUUUCAGGAGACAAAAUAAAGUCAGCUGGAUAAAAAAUGUGCAGAGAGAAAAAAUAUACCAAAAUGUUAAGAGUGAGUGUCUCGGCCGGGCGCAGUGGCUCAUGCCUGUAAUCCCGGCACUUUGGGAGGCUGAUGCGGGCGGAUCACGGGGUCAAGAGUUUGAGAUCAGCCGGCCAACAUAGUGAAACCCCGUCUCUACUAAAAAUACAAAAAUUAGCCGGGCAUGGUGAUGCAUGCCUGUAGUCCCAGCCACUUGGGAGGCUUAGGGAGGAGAAUCACUUGAACCCGGGAGGCAGAGGUUGUGGUGAGCUGAGAUCGUGCCACUGCCCUUCAGCCUGGGCAACAGAGCAGGACUCUGUCUCAAAAAAAAAAAAAGAGUGGGUGUCUCUUGGCACUGAGACAAUGAAUCCCAACAAAUUCCCAACAAAUGAUAUUUUUUCCUUAAAUUUCAGAAUUUUUGAAGUUUUACACAAUGAAUAUUUUGUGAUCUGAAAAUUUUUUCUUCCCCUCCUCUUCCAA